UUUUGGAGUGCUGGGCUUGUUACUCUGUAGACUUUUUUACAGUUUUUAAUGCCACCGACUACUGCUUACUGGACGCUUGUGGUACACUGGCCACAAUGCUAACCACACAAUUACAGCGUUCACUCAACAUAAUUCCUCGAAGUGGAAUAGCUGUGUUCAAGGAUGUGUGCAUUUUACUCUCAAUAUGUGUGGCCAAAAUGCCCUCCUCCAAAAAGCGGAAUCAAUUUACACUCCCUUUACAGCCAGCUUAGAAGAGUUUAUUUUCCUCCAUCUGUGCCAACAAUAAGGUAGAGAUUUAAACUCCGAGCAAGGUGCCCAGUGGGGAAAGGAGCUAUACCAAGGCCAUCCUGU